rnacentral:rRNA from 1 species
UGGGGAAUAUUGCACAAUGGGCGCAAGCCUGAUGCAGCAACGCCGCGUGAGGGACGACGGCCUUCGGGUUGUAAACCUCUUUUAGUAGGGAAGAAGCGAAAGUGACGGUACCUGCAGAAAAAGCACCGGCUAACUACGUGCCAGCAGCCGCGGUAAUACGUAGGGUGCGAGCGUUGUCCGGAAUUAUUGGGCGUAAAGAGCUCGUAGGCGGUCUGUCGCGUCUGCUGUGAAAACCCGAGGCUCAACCUCGGGCCUGCAGUGGGUACGGGCAGACUAGAGUGCGGUAGGGGAGAAUGGAAUUCCUGGUGUAGCGGUGGAAUGCGCAGAUAUCAGGAGGAACACCGAUGGCGAAGGCAGUUCUCUGGGCCGUAACUGACGCUGAGGAGCGAAAGCGUGGGGAGCGAACAGGAUUAGAUACCCUGGUAGUCCACGCCGUAAAACGUUGGGCGCUAGAUGUGGGGACCAUUCCACGGUUUCCGUGUC